UACAGAGGGUGCGAGCGUUAAUCGGAAUUACUGGGCGUAAAGCGUGCGUAGACGGUAGCGUAAGACAGAUGUGAAAUCCCCGGGCUUAACCUGGGAAUUGCAUUUGUGACUGCACGGCUAGAGUGUGUCAGAGGGGGGGUAGAAUUCCACGUGUAGCAGUGAAAUGCGUAGAUAUGUGGAGGAAUACCGAUGGCGAAGGCAGCCCCCCUGGGAUAACGACUGACGCUCAUGCACGAAAGCGUGGGGAGCAAACAGG
rnacentral:rRNA from 1 species